rnacentral:rRNA from 1 species
GAUGAACGCUGGCGGCGUGCCUAAUACAUGCAAGUCGAGCGAACAGACAAGGAGCUUGCUCCUCUGACGUUAGCGGCGGACGGGUGAGUAACACGUGGAUAACCUACCUAUAAGACUGGGAUAACUUCGGGAAACCGGAGCUAAUACCGGAUAAUAUAUUGAACCGCAUGGUUCAAUAGUGAAAGACGGUUUUGCUGUCACUUAUAGAUGGAUCCGCGCCGCAUUAGCUAGUUGGUAAGGUAACGGCUUACCAAGGCAACGAUGCGUAGCCGACCUGAGAGGGUGAUCGGCCACACUGGAACUGAGACACGGUCCAGACUCCUACGGGAGGCAGCAGUAGGGAAUCUUCCGCAAUGGGCGAAAGCCUGACGGAGCAACGCCGCGUGAGUGAUGAAGGUCUUCGGAUCGUAAAACUCUGUUAUCAGGGAAGAACAAAUGUGUAAGUAACUAUGCACAUCUUGACGGUACCUAAUCAGAAAGCCACGGCUAACUACGUG